AUUCAGAAUAAAGGGGGCUCCUUUUCUGCCCUGAUUUGAUUGGCGUUCGGCUGGGUGGUUCCGGCGGCGCUAGCAUGGUUGCCAUGGCAUGCUUGUUCUCUGGCUGUUGCACCUCUACUUCCAGCAGCAAGGUGGUGCUGUAGUUUUGGCUGCGGCAUAGCACGAGGAGCUGCGGGCUGCUACACCUCUACUUGGAGCAUGAAGGAGGGCUCGAUUGGCUGCUGCCUCUGCACUGGUUUGGCACAUCUGAACGUCGCUGGCAGCUGCUGAUGCUGCCGUUGUCCUGCUAUUAGGUGCGAACACACUCUUUUGUUUAGCAAUCACACAUGGUUGUAGUUCAUACUGGCACCUGUACUAUGAUGCUUUAAAAUAUUUUGUGUCUUGAUUAUUGUACCAGGCGUGGAUCUGCUAGUUAUUGCAUAAUUGUUUCGUCUCAGAUUGGUUCAGGAUGCUCAUUUGUUCAAGUAGCCUGAUAAAGUGAUACUUGUGAACUUAGGAACACUUACUGAUCUAGUUCCGCACACACAACAUUGCCUAUUUGCUUUAUGUGCAUAGUUAAGUGAACAGACGAGGAGGAAGGCUAAAUAAAUAUUGACUUUCUUUUGCGUGUUAAUACUAAAUAAAUAUUGAUUAUGCUAAUCAUGCACCAGUUUGAUGCGGCCCUUUAUUUUGUUUAUGUUUUUGAGAGUUAUUGAUUAGUAGUAGUAGUUUAAUUGAAGUUGGCUGUGUAUUGACUGAUUUCGCGUUGCCACACUGUUAACACCAGGGAGAGAUCAGCCAUGAUCAGUUCUUGAUUCCUUAACCUCUAUGUCGAGCUGGCCGGUUCAGUGGCUUGGCUCCGUCCUGUCUAUCUCUAAGUUUGGAUAGUAUUUUGAACUAGUACUUGUUCUGGUCCUAAAUAAAACCUUUCUCUAAGUUGUAGUUUGUACUGAUGAAGCUAAUAUUCUCGUGCAAAAAAUGUUUGCCAUUGGAGAUAUGCUAGAGAGCAAGGAAACAAGGGUUAUGACAAUGGUAUUAUCUAGGUUCCGUUUUGCUGGUGCUGUUGUGGGUGAUGACGAAGUGGCCUGGACUUGUCGGCUAUGUAAUGUGUAGCAUUCAGCCGAAGUGUGCUGUCCAAAUCAUAACUUGCAGUAAUCUUUUGGUAGAUUCCUUUGAGCAUUUUUGUAAUAUGUGGUGUUAAUCAGGCUGCAUUUUCUCUUUAAUUUAGCAUGUAACUGUUCUGAUUUGUGUAUUUAAA